CACACUCCAAUCAACUAAGAGAUAAAAUAAAAAAUUAAUUAUGAGAGAGAAAGUUUUACUCGCCUUUGAUAUAUACAUUAACCAUACCAUGUAAUUAUUAAAAAUUAUUAACUAUGAAAUAUAAUUUUUAAUUAUUAAAUUAUUUAUAGAUAGAGUAUAGAUCAGCCCAAUAGGUGACCCUAGUCCAAAACAAAACAAAUAUAAAAAUAAACCCCAAAUCAGAAAAGGGUUUCAAAGAUCAAAUUAGGAAACUAAACAUCAAAUUAGGAAACUAAACAGUCGCCGCCUUCAUUGGAAUCCAUGGCUUCUCCGUCGACUACUCAGCUCCCAUGCUCCCAUGAUCCGACGACUUCUCAGCUCCCUUGCUCCUGACGCUGUCUUCAGCUUGUCACGUGAAUUAUUGAAGCUAAGUUCCUCUUUUCCCUUUUAUUUAAUCCUUUAUUUAUGGGUUGAGCUUCAAAUAAACUUAUACCACCAUCUUACUAAAAAUUAGAUUCAAGGGAAAAUUGUAGUGUUCAGGUGUUUAGUGUUGUUGAUUAAAACUAUAUAUGUCAAGGGAUUGUAACUUUAGAUCUGAUUUCCUAUUGUUUGAGUGCAUCGACCUUCGACAUCCAAAACUCUCAUUGGAUGUAGGUGUUGGAUUCAUAGGAACUUAUUUCCAACAGUAGAUUAAAUCAUUUCUAUUGUUAAUCCCUACUAUCUACUUACACCUCUAUUUUGGUUUCUAUCUAGGUUGCAUGUGAAUUCAAAGGGUAUCAUCUCAGCUGUAUUGAGCUAAUAUGAAUGAAAUUAAUUAUUGUUAUCAGUUUUUCAAGUGAAGUUGGUUCAUUAUUCGCCUGAAGCUGAUGUUUCAAAGAAUUAGUUACCCAUUCUUUUGUGGACUAUUUCCUACUCUCUUCACCUUGUUGAUCAUUUGAUACCUCUUUAGAAGGUGAAUUGUGAUUUCCAUGUGGUACCUCUUGUUUCUCUCUAUUCUCCUCUGUAAGCGCCUCAAAAUGAAUUUUGGUUGCAUAAUUUUGCUACAUCAUCAUUUAUUACUGUAAACUUCAACAACAUAUAGAAUGUUUUAAAAACUUACUGCAAAUCACAAGCAAACAAAUUGGAAUUUUAAAAACUUUCCUCAAAUUAUAAUCAAAUUUGUUUAUUCAAUUAUAAACAAAUUUGAGAGGGGUAUUAAGCUGUUAAGUCAUACUAUGAAGAUUUGGGAGAGAGUGAUCAAGUGAAGGUUGAGGAAGGUUGUGUCUAUUUUGGAGAAUCUACUUAGAUUUAUGCCUGGUCGCUCGACAAUAGAGGCAAUCCACUUGGUGAGGAGAUUAGUGGAGCAGUAUAGAGAAAGGAAGAAGGAUUUACACAUGGUAUUCAUCGACCUAGAAAAGGCGUAUGAUAAAGUCCCGAGGGAGGUUCUUUGGAGGUGAGAGGGGUCCCGGUGGUGUACAUCAUAGCUAUUAAGGAUAUGUACGAUGGAGGAAAGACUCGGGUGAGAAUGAGGGAAGGAGACUCAGAGUAGUUUUCGAUUGAGACUGGGUUGCAUCAGGGAUCGACUCUUAGUUCGUUCCUUUUUGUAUUGGUGAUGGACGUGUUGACGCGGAGCAUUCAAGGUGAGGAGACUUGGUGUAUGUUAUUUGCAGAUGAUGUGGUGCUGAUUGAUGAGAUGCGCGGGGGUGGAGGGGGGGUGUGAAUGACAAAUUGGAGGUUUGGAGGUAAACCUUUUAAGUCUAAGGGGUUUAGGUCGAGUAGGUCUAAAACUGAGUAUUUGGAAUGUAAGUUUGGUGACUUGAGACAGGAGGACGAAGGGGUGGUGAGGUUGGACUCCCAGGAUGUCUGUAAGAUGGACAGUUUUAAGUAUCUUGGGUCUACGAUUCAAGGGAAUGGUGAGAAUGAUGAAGAUGUCUCUAAAUGUAUUGAAGCAGGUUGGAUGAAGUGGAGGCUAGCCUCAGGAGUGUUAUGUGAUAAGAAGGUGCCCCUUAAGCUUAAAGGCAAAUUCUAUAGAGUGGCAGUCCAUCCGGCCAUGUUGUAUGGUGUGGAGUAUUGGCCGGUCAAGCACUCGCACAUCUAAAAAUUGAAGGUGGAGGAAAUGAGAAUGUUGUGUUGGAUGUGUGGGCUUACUAGAGGUGAUAGAGUAAGAAAUGCGACUAUUCGGGUGAAGGUGGGAGUGGCUUCAGUGGAAGAUAAGUUGUGGGAAGAAAGACUGCGAUAGUUUGGGCAUGUGAUGAGAAGGAGUGCGGAUGCCCCAGUCUGGAGGUGUGAGAGGCUUUCUUUGGAUGGAUUUAAGAGGGGUAGAGGUAGGCCGAAGAAAUACUAGAGGUAGGUGAUUAGACAUGACAUGGAGUAGCUUCAGCUGAUUGAGGACAUGACCCUAGAUAGUAAGGUGUAGAGGUCGCGGAUAAGGGCAGAAGGCUAAUGCGGGUGUGUGGGUUGUAGAUUGCAGUAUGGAGAGUCUUGCGUAGCUGGGUUAGUAAGCCUAGGUCCAUGUUCAUAGGGUCCUUAUUAUGGGAGUGUAGGUUAUUACUAGGUGGGUGUACUAGUUCUUAUGUCUUAGUACCUAUUUUCUUAUUUCGUAUCGCCCUUAUGUCUCAUAUUUCAUAUUUCUCUUAUGUCUAUUUUAUUUUCUUAUUCCUGAUUUUCUAUUAUGUUUUCCCAUCCCUUUGUUUACUGUUCUCUACUUUGAGCCGGGGGUCUAUCGGAAACAGCCUCUCUACUUCCUCGGAGGUAGCGGUAUGGACUGCGUACAUCUUAUCCUCCCCAGAUCCCACUCUUGUGGGAAUACAUUGGGUAUGUUGUUGUAGAUACUAUCAAGGUUUCAACUAGUAAGAAAAUUAUAUACCUAAAUCCGUUUUUCACCAAAAACUUCUCAAUUAACAAUUAUCUAUUAAAAAAUACCUGAUAAUUAUUAUUGUACACUUUAAAAAAAAACUAUAAUUCCAAAAAAGAAAGCUCAUGUAAUUAAAAAAACUAAGAUACUUGCCCAAAUCCCAACAAAUUAGUUUUAAAACCACUCUAUGAUGAUUAUUAUACAACACAAAAUAAUAAUAAAUACCUAAACCAAAACCCUAACAAACCUUAUCAUAAUCAAUAAGCAGAUAUUUUUGUGUGUAGCAAUUGUUGAAACCAUACGUCCUUUAAGUAGUAGAUUAUAAGAAUUUUUUAACUGAAAGGCCUCCGCCCAAUUAUAUAGAUUUCAAAGAAAUUUGUAUUUGUAUCAUACGAAACCUAAGUACAAAUCAUUUUCUAAAAGUCUUCAAACUUCUAUAUAUACAAGUUUAGAUAUACGCACCUCACACGUGUACCUCAAUUUAGUGAGUUCAAUUUUGUAAAAUCAUUCAAAAUAUAAAAAGCAUGACAGUCUUUCAAAAUAUCUAUUGCAUUUUCUAUUUGUUAGUAUCUUGACAUCAGGACAACUUUUCGUUAUUAUCAAAAGUAGAAAUUAGCCAACCGAAAAACAUGUAUAUUAGUUUAAACACAAGAAAGUUUACAAAGAAGAGUAUAUUCUCUUUACUCCUUCCUUGAGCCAUUCUCCUUCACCUCUUCUCUCUUUCUUUAAUCUUCUGAAUCUCUUCUUCCUACUUCUCCAAUUUUAUAUCAACACUUUCUUUAAUCUUCAGAAUCUUUUCCUCCAAUUUCUCCAAUUUCAUAUCACACAAUUAUUAUUUUAUUUGGAUUGUUUAGGUUUGUUAGAUUCUUCAGAAGCUUCCUCAACUAAUCUGUUCAACCAGAUUAAUUUCUCAAUAAUUUUCAAUAUGUUGGGAAGAUUUCUCGAAAGAUAUUUAUGUCAACUAACAUUUAUGUUUAGGAUUUUAUAAUAGUAGGUAGAUAGAUUAAACUCAAUUUAUAAUGAAUAAAUAUAUUUGAUCCACUUUCAAACUUAAUUAGUAAUCCCAAAAUUAAAAUAUUCGACUAUAAUCCUAAAUUUAUAUGUUCGUCUUUCAAAUAAAAGUUAUGCAUAUCAAGAUUCAACACUUAUUAUAAUCUUAUAUUUAGAACUCAACUAAUAAGUUUAAUUGAAGAUUCAACUAAUACUAAUGAAAUAGUUAAAUAACAUAAUCAAAUCAAAGUCAUAGCUAAAGAAAGGAAGGAAAAAAAAAAAGAGAAACAUUUGAUGUUUUUGACCAUUUCAUUCGGUGACGUUUUACUUAUUUCUUUCCGUUUUUGAUAAAAAAAAUUCUACAAAAGAGAAAUUAUCAAAAAAGGAGAAUUUAUUGUCUUGUUAAUUAUUUAAUCAUAAUUUAUAUAUAAUCGUUAAAAUUAUUAACUAAAUGGAAUAAAGAAAGAUGGAGAAGAUGAUAAUAAUGAAUACACACAAAAAAAAGACAACCUGAAUUAAUAAUAAAAUAAGAAAAAGUAGAAGUAGAGCUAUAUUUUAAGUAAAUUUUGAUCCAAAAUAUUAGUUAAAUAGAAUUGUAUGUUUUUUUAUAUAAGGUAAAAUUCUAAUUGAUUUAGAAGUGUUAAAUAUUAUGAAUUCUUACUUAGAUUAAGUAAUCAAAGCAAAAAAAGUUAUGACUAAAAUUAAUUGUAAAUACAAAUUUUAUGAAAAAUGGGAAAGGUUUUUGAAUUUUUUUGGGGACAAAAAGAAAGAAACAAACCUUUGAUGUUUUUGACCACUUCUUCGGUGAUGUUAUGCUUAUUUCUUUUAAUUUUUGACAAAAAUUUUCUACUGAAAGAGAAACACAGAAAAAAUUAUCAAAAAAGGAGAAUUCAUCGUCUUGUUAAUUAUUUAAUCAUAAUUUAUAUAUAAUAUUUAAAAUUAACAACUAAAAGGAAUAAAGAAAUAUGGAGAAGAUGAUAAUAAUGAAUACACACACAAAAAAAGAUAACUUGAAUUAAUAACAAAAUAAGAAGAAAAAGUAGAAGUAGAGCUAUGUUUCUAGUAAAUUUUGAUCUAAAAUAUCAGUUAAAAACAAUUGUAUUUUUUUUAUAUAUAAGAUAAAAUUCUAAUUGAUUUAGAAGUAUUAAAUAUUAUGAAUUCUUACUUUGAUUAAAUAAUCAAACCAAAAAGAGCUAUAACUAAAAUUAAUGGCGAAUACAAAUUUUAUGGAAGAUGGGAAAGGUUUUUGAAUAUUUUUGGGGAAAAAAAGCAUUGGGAGAAGGGUUAAUUUUUUAUUAUUAUAUAUUUUUUUUGGUUUCACUUUGAGGGGUGGGAUUUUCUUUAAUUACAAUUUUUUUAUUAUAUUAUUUUUUAGUGGGGGUUCACAUUGGGGGUGGGGUUUUCUUAUUACUAUUUUUUUUAUUUCAGGUUGGGGAUUUCACAUUAUUUUUUUUUAAUUGUUUUUUUUAAUGGAAAAAUUACACGAAGUGACAAACUUAAGAUCAUAAUUAUAAUAAAUAACAAUACUUUUUCAAAAUUACAUUUUAUAGCAAAAGUAGUAUUUUUUUCCCAUUAACUCUGCACACGCGUGUUUCACUCUUUCUUUCCUAUUUUCACUCUAUUAUUUUACCUCUCUCCUAUUUAACCAUAUAUUUUUUUCCCUUUCCAGUGUACCUCUUGAAAAUCAAUCAACCAUAAAUAUAUAUUGUACGCUCUCUGUGAUUAUCAAUGAUCUUUUAUACACAACCUAGCUACUGCUCUUUAUAAGUGUAUAUAGUAAACAUAUAUUGUUAGUUUCUUGCAAGCUACUCUAAUUUUUUUCUCUUCUUUUUGCUGCUGUUGCUUCACAAUUAUGACAACGUCCAGGGUUACGAUGAAGCUGUUGACUGACAGCAAAAGCAAAAAGAUCAUGUUUGCAAGACUGGCAAGAGUGUAUUGAUUUCCUGUUUCACAUUCUUGCAUUUGCCAAUAUGCAGUGUCAUUAGGCUUCUCGACAACGUCCAGGGUUACGAUGAAGCUGUUGACUGACAGCAAAAGCAAAAAGAUCAUGUUUGCAAGACUGGCAAGAGUGUAUUGAUUUCCUGUUUCACAUUCUUGCAUUUGCCAAUAUGCAGUGUCAUUAGGCUUCUCUUUGUCAAAGGAAUGGUUGGGUACUUGGGGAACUUAUAUAAGAACCUUCAGAAUCUUGAUAAUAUGUACAUUCCACCAAAUCGGAAAAAAGGACGUCCUCUUGAAACCAAAGCCAACAGCCUAUGAUACUUCAGCACCUCUAUUACUGAUCACCAGCUGCCCUGUUGAUAGACAGUUUUUAAUGUUCCCUAACCAUAAUGGUUACGUGACUGAUGAUCAUCAAACGUAUCGCCCUAAGGCCAAUGGAUACGGUGAAUAUGAACACGCAAUUUGAAAUUUCUCUGUAUUUGAACUUUUUGAACUACACGUGGCAUGUUUUUAGUUUAGUUUGAAGAUGUAAUUGUAUUUGUAUUUUUAUUAGAUUAUAGGUCAUGUA